rnacentral:rRNA from 1 species
CAGUCGAGCGAGAUUAAUUUUUCGGAAGGAGCAAUCUGGAAGAAAUGUUGAUCUAGCGGCGAACGGGUGCGUAACAAGUAGAUUACCUGCCUUAGAGUUCGGGAUAGCCCGGGGAAACCUGGAGUAAUACCGGAGAUGUAGUAAUACCAAAGCAGCAAUGCGCUCUAAGAUGGGUCUGCUCACUAUCAGCUUGUUGGUGGGGUAAUGGCCUACCAAGGCUAAGACGGUUAGCUGGUCUGAGAGGAUGAUCAGCCACAUGGGAACUGAGACACGGUCCUGACACCUACGGGUGGCAGCAACUAGGAAUCUUGCACAAUGGGGGAAACCCUGAUGCAGCGACGCCGCGUGGAGGAUUAAGGCCGAAAGGUUGUAAACUCCUUUUACAUGGGAACAAACUGAGUGUACCAUGCGAAUAAGCUACUGCUAACUUCGUGCAAGCAGCAGCGGUGAUACGGGGGUAGCAAACGUUAUCCGGAAUUAUUGGGCGUAAAGAGAUGCGUAGGCGUCUUAUUAAGUCUUGGGUGAAAGCCUGCAGCUUACCUGCAGAACCGCCUGGGAUACUGAUAGGAUUGAGGAAAUCAGAGGAAAGCAGAAUUCACCGAGGAGAGGUAAAAUUCGUAGAUACGGUGAGGAAUACCAAUGGCGAAGGCAGCUUUCUGGGAUUUUCCUGACGCUAAGGCUCGAAAGCGUGGGGAUCAAAACGGAUUAGAUACCCGUGUAGUCCACGCUGUAAACUAUGCUUACUAUGCGUUCGUAAUGUAAGAACUCUAUCUUCGGAUAGUUUUCCCCGCAUUAUGAGUGCAACAGCUAACGCGUUAAGUAAGCCGCCUGUGAAGUACGGUCGCAAGACUAAAACAUAAGGAAUUGACGGGGACCCGCACAACCGGUGGAGCGC